CAACUACUCCCUCUGUCCCAAAUUUCUUGUCUUAGAUUUGUCUAGACACGGAUGUAUCUAAUACUAAAAUGUGACUUGAUACAUCCGUAUCUAGACAAAUCUAAGAAAGAAUUUUGGGACGGAGGGAGUACUUU
rnacentral:pre_miRNA from 1 species